AUUACAUGGAGCGAUUUCUUAUAAGAAGUUCCAGGAACUUCGCCUCUGCGACAGCAGAGAGAUUGGUGUUUCUUAGAUGACAGCUUCAAAACUAAGAUAUAUACAAAGACGGAUGUAUAUGAGAGAGAGAGUAUUUUUACGACAGAUUAUCAUCAAGUGGCAUGCCCCACUGACUCAUUCCAUCAUAUCAGCGGUACAUGAUACAUUUUGCAAAUUUAACACACAAGUAAAUUUUACUGAGAUAAAAAAAUAAUAAUAAUAAAAAAUAAAUAAUGAAGAGAAGAGAAAAGUGUAAGUCCUACCAAAUUGCUGUAUGUGGACUCGCCCUCACAGGUAAACACCGUGGUUAAGACAGGAUACUGAUCAGUAGGGCAUGAGUUCAGACCCCAAGCUGCCACUGUUUGGAAAAGCCCCUAACUGCUCAGCUUUAGAUAAAACCCUCAGCCAAAUGAGGUGCAAAUUUACCGUAUCCAGGUGAGAUUAUCCACCGAAGCAAGGGUGUAUCUUGGGCAUAAAAUUUUGCAAUUCAUUAUGGGAUCAUCCACAACAAACUCCAGUAAAGUCUCCACAAAAGUAGCCUACAAUUUGUGCAGUUUUAUAAGGAAAUUACAGAAAGCUAUAAGUUUUAUUGAGCAUUUUGCAGAACCAGGCAUAGUUCUUCUGGACAUUUUGACUGUCACACUUGCUUCUUAUUUUUGCAGCAAAAUCCAGCAGCCAUCAUUAUGUGUUUUUGUCUGAAAAGUGCCUCUUAUGUAAUAUGCUGCUUUCUUUACUGACAUACAAACAUUUUUCUGUAACAUUUAAUUUUGUGCUGGAAAACUAAUGUUUGGAAAUCUAAAAUGUUUUUGUGCUGACUCGAUAAUGUAGAAGUCAUAAAGUAAAAAUCUAUAACAAAGUUUGUAUUAAAAAAUAAAUAGGGUACCUAAGACUUUUGCACAGCACUGUACAUUCAGUUGAAAAGAAUACUGCAGAGACUCAUUAUGGCAGUAAAAACAAAGAACAAAUUCAAAUACAGGU